UACGUAGGGUGCGAGCGUUAAUCGGAAUUACUGGGCGUAAAGCGUGCGCAGGCGGUUUUGCAAGUCAGAUGUGAAAGCCCCGGGCUUAACCUGGGAAUGGCAUUUGGGACUGCAAGGCUGGAGUGUGGCAGAGGAGACUGGAAUUCCUGGUGUAGCAGUGAAAUGCGUAGAUAUCUGGAGGAAUACCGGUGGCGAAGGCGGCAUCCUGGACCGACAUUGACGCUGAACGGCGAAAGCUAGGGGAGCAAACGGG
rnacentral:rRNA from 1 species